rnacentral:rRNA from 1 species
UACGUAGGGUGCGAGCGUUGUCCGGAAUUAUUGGGCGUAAAGAGCUCGUAGGCGGUCUGUCGCGUCGGUCGUGAAAACUUGGGGCUUAACCCUGAGCUUGCGGUCGAUACGGGCAUGACUGGAGUUCGGCAGGGGAGACUGGAAUUCCUGGUGUAGCGGUGAAAUGCGCAGAUAUCAGGAGGAACACCGGUGGCGAAGGCGGGUCUCUGGGCAACAACUGACGCUGAGGCGCGAAAGCGUGGGGAGCGAACAGG